GCUGUGUGGGUCAGUGGUAGAGCACUUGCCUUGCACACAUGAGGCACUGGUUUCAAUCCUCAGCACCACA
rnacentral:tRNA from 1 species